rnacentral:rRNA from 1 species
CUACAUGCAGUCGACGGUAGCACAGAGAGCUUGCUCUCGGGUGACGAGUGGCGGACGGGUGAGUAAUGUCUGGGAAACUGCCUGAUGAAGGGGGAUAACUACUGGAAACGGUAGCUAAUACCGCAUAACGUCGCAAGACCAAAGAGGGGGACCUUCGGGCCUCUUGCCAUCAGAUGUGCCCAGAUGGGAUUAGCUAGUAGGUGGGGUAACGGCUCACCUAGGCGACGAUCCCUAGCUGGUCUGAGAGGAUGACCAGCCACACUGGAACUGAGACACGGUCCAGACUCCUACGGGAGGCAGCAGUGGGGAAUAUUGCACAAUGGGCGCAAGCCUGAUGCAGCCAUGCCGCGUGUAUGAAGAAGGCCUUCGGGUUGUAAAGUACUUUCAGCGGGGAGGAAGGUGUUGUGGUUAAUAACCACAGCAAUUGACGUUACCCGCAGAAGAAGCACCGGCUAACUCCGUGCCAGCAGCCGCGGUAAUACGGAGGGUGCAAGCGUUAAUCGGAAUUACUGGGCGUAAAGCGCACGCAGGCGGUCUGUCAAGUCGGAUGUGAAAUCCCCGGGCUCAACCUGGGAACUGCAUUCGAAACUGUCAGGCUAGAGUCUUGUAGAGGGGGGUAGAAUUCCAGGUGUAGCGAUGAAAUGCGUAGAGAUCUGGAGGAAUACCGGUGGCGAAGGCGGCCCCCUGGACAAAGACUGACGCUCAGGUGCGAAAGCGUGGGGAGCAAACA